ACUUUCCUUAGAGGCAUUGCAGGUGAGGAUGUGUUGUCAGUAGGCAGCAGGGAUAAGAGAGGCUUUAUGUCUUCAUACAGUGCCUGUGAACAUCUAAAUGGUUGGUAGCUUAACAUU
ensembl:snoRNA Gm22539 predicted gene, 22539